ACGAGCAAUGUCUGUCCAGCCACAGAGGAAAAUGGAGUGAAGGGCAAUGGUGUGUCACCACCAACCGGCUCAUCCUGCACUACCAGUGUUCGGCCGUUCUCUUUGGUAUAUACCUUCUGGAAAGGAGUGUUUUUAUUCCUGUACAGAAGUCAACUUUUACGUAAAACUAUUUCCCAGAAGCGAACAGAACUACAAGAAAGAGACAAUGAAGGAUGAAUACACAUUCUUAAGUGAGGUAUCUAAAAAACAAACAAACAAAAGAAACCCCAAACAAAA